CCCUUCAGCAAUAGGAUCGGCACAAACCUCCCUUCAAUGGAAUGCCUAAAAAAGCAAUUUUUUCACCUCCCAACCUCAAUAACAAUUGUGGGCUCCAACAUACACAUCCUUGUACACUAGAAUAGUAAAAAUUACAAUGAUCUUACCCAGCAUUCCUAAUGUAUCUUACAGAAACUACAACCAAUUUCAAGAUUAGAUGACGCAUCUGGCCAUC
rnacentral:misc_RNA from 1 species